GUGAUGCUUUCCAGUGACUUGGACUCAGUUUCAGCACCAUGGACAGAAGCUCAUUAAGCUGUAUAAUGGAUCUGUUUUCAGUACCAUGGACAGCAGCUAGAAAUGACCAUAGCCCUGUCCAGCUACAUAGUAUCUGUGAUUUUCGAGGAUUGUUUCUGUCAAUGACCACAGACCUGUCCAGCUAUGUAGUGUCUGUGAUUUCAGAUCAUUGCAGCUACCAAUGAC